rnacentral:tRNA from 1 species
CGGAAGAGUCACGUCCCCGGUGGGGCGCACGGACUUCAAAUCCGCUGAGGGGGCGCAUUGCGCUCCCUGGGGUUCGACUCCCACCUCUUCCG